UAGAGUUUGUUUGUUAAACAAACACUAGUUCCAUUAAAACUGACACCUGAACUAAAAACACUGCCACACACUCAUAGGUAAGUUAAGCCUGCAACUCAAAAGGAACAUAAAUACAUAGCCAAGAAGGCAUCUAUGCUGCUUCAGCUUGUCGUUAAUACUGCGUUCUUCCAUCACCUUCAGUGAUCACAUCUUUAAAAGCUCCACCACUGGGGAUCAUAGGCAGGACAUGCUCUUGAUGAGGAACGAUGACGUCCAGAAGGUAUGGUCCAGGAGUGUCCAACAUAGUCUGAAUUGCGGCUCUCAGAUCUGCCUUCCUUGUUACUUGUGCUCCAGGUAUUCCACAGGCUUCUGCAAACUUCAACAUAUUCGGAAAUAUUUCAGACUCUCUUGAUGGAUCUCCCAAAUACGUGUGAGCCCUAUUUGCCUUGUAAAACCGAUCCUCCCAUUGCAUCACCAUGCCCAAGUGCUGAUUAUUCAACAGCAAUAUCUUGAUGGGGAGUUUCUCUACCUUAAUAGUCGCCAACUCCUGGACGUUCAUGAUGAAACUCCCAUCACCAUCAAUAUCUACAAUGAUGGCAUCAGGAUUUGCAACAGCAGCUCCGAUUGCAGCGGGCAAUCCAAAACCCAUAGCCCCUAGUCCUCCAGAUGUUAGCCACUGGCGAGGUCUCCUGUACUUGUAAAACUGAGCAGCCC
rnacentral:lncRNA from 1 species